ACUGGGCGUCGUGGCGGGCGCCUGUGAGCUAUCUUCUAGGCAGUAGAUCGGCGUGGAUGGAGUGAGGGGAGGAGUCCCGCGGUUGCCGCAGAGUGCGGAGACCGGACGUCCGCGUCAAGCGUCGCGUCGCCAGGGGUGUGCGGUCGGAGGGCUGCGUGUCCCGGGCGGUCAAGGAGGGGUGCACGGCACAGGUCCGAAAGGGAGCAGGCAAAAACCCCCGCGCCCGUGAGCACCUGCACUGUCGUGGCCUCUCCGACACCUUCAGACUGCCGAUCGCUU
rnacentral:SRP_RNA from 1 species